GGGGGCCCGAGGCCUUGAGGCGGUGAGGAGGACGUUGGCAAGAACUUAAAAACGCCAGGGAGCUGGGGGUGGGAAACACUCCUAGAGAGACUUUUAAAUCGGGGGUUUUCUGACUAACACCAUUUUCUCCGUCUUACUCGCACGUGGCAACUCUGAUGAAGUUUUAAGGGGGAAGAGAGUGAGGAGGGCUGUGUCAGAUGUGGUGGGCGCGGUGAAAGAGGGCAGCCUGCUGUGAAGGACUUUCUUGAAAUAGCUGAUAAAAAAUCUCUACUAAAUAUGGAAAUAAGUAAAACCAAAAAGAAGAACUUAUUGAUUAGAAGAAUGGAGUGGGAAGGAAAAGGCAAAUGGGACUGAUGUAGAGACUGCAUAGAAGGUUGUGAUUAGGCUAGGGACAGUAUAGAAAAGUUGUAUCCAAAAAAAAAAUAAAGAAGAAGAAGAAGAGGAGGAGGAGGAGGAGGGGGAGGGGAGGAGGAGGAGGAGGAGAAAAAGAAUUAAAACCAGGGAUUUCAGAAGCCAGAAGCCCGAUCGACCUAAAAUCCUGGUGUUGUCACUUUGGAGCUAGCUCUGUGACCCCAGGACCCACGUGGCUGUCCUCAGGGAGAGGAAGCACCCUGUACCCACGUACCCACAUGUGACAGGAAUACUCAGGCUGGGGCUCUGUGCUUCUGAGGGAACGAAUGGAACCAGAGAAGCCCAGCCCCUCACUCUGACGCUAGUUUAACUCUUAUCUUCUCCCGCCAAUUUGUCAUCUUGUUAAUUAUCCCAUUUAGUAACUCUGUUCCAACUGCUGGGCUUCCUUCUUCCUUCUUCCAUGUCCUCUGUCUGUUUUGUCUCCUGUUCUUUGAUCUAGUGCUUGUUUCAAACACCCUCUUGGUAACCGACCUCUUCUGCUCAACCCAGGACCACUCCCACUGGGGCCCUGCUGCUGGGGCUGCUGGCUCCACCCCUGCGAGUCUCACCUCAGAGUGUCAGGGAGACCUCAGCCAGCUCCUGAGUUUCUUUAAAGACUAUAUAUUUUUUUAGAGUAAUUUUAGGUUCACAGCAAAAUUGAGAGGAAGGUACAGAGAUUUUCCACAUACCUUCUGUCCCCACAUACGCACAGCCUCUCCCAUCAUCAACGUCUGCCACCAGAGAGGUACAUUUGUUACAGUUAGUAAAUCUGCAUUGACAAGUCAUAAUCACUCAAAGUCCGUAGUCUAUGUUAGGGGUUACCAAGAGUAACCCCUAACAUUCUCUGAGUUCGGACAAACGUAUAAUGACAAGUAUCACACAGUGUUUACACUGCCCUAAAAAUCCUCUGUUGGUCCACUUCUUCAUUGCCCCCAUUUCACUAACCCUGCCAAGCACCUUAUCCACAGAUUUGCUAGUCCAGAAUGUCACAUGGUGGGAAUCGUAUAGUAUGUACGAUUUUUCAGAUUGGCUUCUUUCACUUAGUCAUAUGCAUUUAAAUUUCCUCUGUUUAAUAGCUUGCUUCUUUUCAUUACUGAAUAAUAUUCCAUUCUUUGAAUGUGCUUCAGUUUGUCUCUUCACCUACUGAAACAACAUGUUGGGUGUUUCCAACUUUCAGCAGUUAUGAGAAAAGCUGCCAUAAACAUCCAUGUGCAGUUGCUUUGGGUAAAUACCAAGAACAUGAUGGCUGGAUCAUGUGGUUAAGUGUAAGAAACUGCCAAACUGUGUUCCAAAGUGGCUGCACGUUUACAUCCCUGCCAGCUAUAUAUGAGAGUACCUGUUGCUCCAUAUCCUCCCCAGCAUUUGUUGUCAGUGCUGUGGAUUUUGACCAUUUUGCUCAGUGGGUAGUGGAAUCUCACUGUGGUUUUAAUUUGCAUUUCCCUGAUGACACAUGAUGUGGAACAUCUUUUCCUUUUCAAUACAGGACUUUACUAUAUCUUUAAAAUAUAACAAAGAGGUCUUAGGAAACCACCCAGCAUCUUGUUUCAGUAGCUGGACAACUUAGAACUGAUUCAGCAGCCUGCUGAACCAUUCCAUUUUCAGAGACAUAGAUAUCAUCUAGAAAUUUUCUGAUAUCAUUGUUUUCAACUGCUGUGGCUUACUGAAUCAAAACAGCUGAAUUUCGUGUAGGUUCACUGUCAUUUCUUUCAAGAAUUAAUUCUUUUUUCUGGGUUUGAGAUACUAAGCAAGCUACUCCUGGCCUCACCCAAACCUUGUGGAUGUAUUUUUACCCAAGAAAUUUUGGAUUUCAACUAGAGACCCAUUCUCCUGCCGAACGACACUGAUGGGGGGAAAAUACACAGAUCCCAUCUUGUGAUGAGCCCAGUGUGACCUGAUGAUGCUCUGACCGUGACUGCAGGUAAUGCAAACAGUGGCCACGUCCUUUCUGUUUUCCCACCACUUGUUAGCCUAGAGCCUCUUCCUUUCUUCCCAAGGAAACUGAGUUCUACGUUGACGUGAUGAAGUCCUUCUGCAGGGUCCCUCUGGGGCCCUUCUUAAUAGCUGUGUGUCCCUUCAGAGCGAUAUCAACGUUUUCUGGAAUGGAGACAGUCGGAUUGCAAUAGAUAUAGCACAAACUCCAUAUGUUUAUUUAUGUCAUCUGUUUAUCUUCUUUGGUGAGGGUUCUGUUAGUCUUUGGCCCAUUUUUAAACAGGGUUGUUCAUUUCCUUAUUGCUGGAUUUUUGAGUCCCUUGUAUAUUUUGGAUAACAGUCCUUUAUCAGAUGUGUCUUUUGUGAGAUAUGCUCCCAGUCUCUGGGUUGUCUUCUCAUCCUCUUGACACUGUCUUUUGCAGAACUUAUUUUUUAAAAUUUUAGUGAAGUCCAGCUUAUUAAUUAUUUCCUUCAUGGAUCAUGCCUUUGGUUUUUACCUAAAAGUCACCAUUUUACCCAGUCAUCUAGAUUUUCUCCGGUGUUAUUGUCUAGGAGUUUUAUGUUUUUGUAUUUAGUCUUUGAUACAUUUUAAGUUAAUUUGUGUGAAAGUUGUAAAGUCUGAGUCUAAGUUAAUUCCUGGGUAGUUCAAGCACCUUAUAAUAACAAAUGCAUGUUUUCAUCCACUAUCAAAUACUGAUUAGUAAAAUGAUGUGUAUUUAUCAGAAAAAAAAUAUUCAGCUAUUCCAGGUCCUGUGCCUUUCCAUGUAAAUGUAAGAAUAGGCUUGUCUAUGUAUAUGAAAAACCUCACUGAGAUUUUGACAAAAACUGCAGUAACCCUGCAGAUCAAUUUAGGGAGGACUGAUAUCAUUGCUAUGUUGUCUUCCAAUCCAUGAGCACAAUGUCUAUCAGUUUAAUUAGGUCUUUGAUUUCUUCAUCAACUAUUUGCAGUCUUUAGCAUACAGGUUCUGUAUGUAUUUUUUUAAAUGUAUAUCUAGGUAUUUCAUUUUCUUUGGAAUGAUUGUAAAUGAUAUUACAUUUUAAUUUUGGUUUCCAAAUGUUUAUUGUUAAUAUGUAGAAAUGUGAUUGCUCCUCCCUCUGCUUUCUUGUGUCAUUACCAUUAUGUUUUACUUAUAAAUGUCCCUAAGCAUAUGUAUGUAUAUAUGUUUAUAUACAUAAACAUACAUAUACCA